rnacentral:rRNA from 1 species
AUGAACGCUGGCGGCGUGCCUCAUACAUGCAAGUCGAGCGAACGGACGAGAAGCUUGCUUCUCUGAUGUUAGCGGCGGACGGGUAAGUAACACGUGGAUAACCUACCUAUAAGACUGGGAUAACUUCGGGAAACCGGAGCUAAUACCGGAUAAUAUUUUGAACCGCAUGGUUCAAAAGUGAAAGACGGUCUUGCUGUCACUUAUAGAUGGAUCCGCGCUGCAUUAGCUAGUUGGUAAGGUAACGGCUUACCAAGGCAACGAUGCAUAGCCGACCUGAGAGGGUGAUCGGCCACACUGGAACUGAGACACGGUCCAGACUCCUACGGGAGGCAGCAGUAGGGAAUCUUCCGCAAUGGGCGAAAGCCUGACGGAGCAACGCCGCGUGAGUGAUGAAGGUCUUCGGAUCGUAAAACUCUGUUAUUAGGGAAGAACAUAUGUGUAAGUAACUGUGCACAUCUUGACGGUACCUAAUCAGAAAGCCACGGCUAACUACGUG